UUUCCGUAGGUGAACCUGCGGAGGGAUCAUUAUUCAAUAACCGAGCUGCGAGGGAUGCCUCUGACCCGCAGCGUCGCUCACGCACGAAUGCGUUCAUUUUCCUUAAUUUCACCUCUCUGUGUACCACCGCCCGGGACCGCCCUUACCAUGAUCGUUGUGUGGUUUCAGUCUUCACCAAAACAUUGAUUGCAGUUUACAAUGUUUUUUUUGUUUUUGCUUUCUCGCAGUCAAUACAACUUUCAACAACGGAUCGCUUGGCUCUCGCAUCGAUGCAGAUCA
rnacentral:misc_RNA from 1 species